UCCAAAUGAGUUGAAAUUUAACAUGCUUACCAUGAUGUGGGUUGUGAUUGAUAAUGAUUUAUUUGAUGAUUUUUGGAAAUGUUUAAGAUUGCUUUUGUUUCAAGUCUUGCUGUUGACUUCUAUGGGCUUCUAAAUGCCAUGCUUUGACUUCUUUUGCUUAUAAAAUGAUGAUAAUGAUUGAUAUGAAUGUGAAACCAAUUGGGUUUAUUUCUUGAUUGUUUGAACAUGAUUUUGGACACUUGCCAUUUG
rnacentral:lncRNA from 1 species